UACAGAGGUCCCAAGCGUUGUUCGGAUUCACUGGGCGUAAAGGGUGCGUAGGCGGCUUUCUAAGUCAGGGGUGAAAUCCUGGAGCUCAACUCCAGAACUGCCUUUGAUACUGGAGAGCUCGAGUCCGGAAGAGGUGAGUGGAACUGCGAGUGUAGAGGUGAAAUUCGUAGAUAUUCGCAAGAACACCGGUGGCGAAGGCGGUUCUCUGGGCCUGUACUGACGCUGAGGAGCGAAAGCGUGGGGAGCAAACAGG
rnacentral:rRNA from 1 species